ACUGGAGAAAAGCGACACGCAAGAAGUGUAUAAGAAAAGCUGCAUGGAAAAAAUAAAAACCCUGGUAAAACGACACGCCUGGGUCUGUGACGUGAUAUCCGUGGAACGGGCUGUGGAUACUUUGGCGACACAAGGAGGUGGUCAUUUGGGCUUUGCAACAUUUGAUUUCAACAAUGUAAAAAAAUUGAGAGGUAAUCAGGUGACCACUGAUCAGCCUCCACGGAUGAAGCGCUAGCUGUUCCAAGUUGGGACCCAGGAUGGACCACUCCUCUUUGCAUCAGUUGGUGACCUCUCUGCGUUGCUGGCUUGUCUCCAUUCAAGAUGAUCCCCUGCUGGCCUCCCAAUGGACUGGAUUUUCACAUUAAGUCGGGACCAGGGGUGACCACUCCUUAUGCAUCAGUUGGUGAUGUUUCAGCACCCCGACGUGUCUACAUCUGACGGUGAGGGCCAGGAGCAAGAUUUCUCCCACUAAUGUGAACGGAUCACUGUCCUCUCCCCUCAAGGACAUCUCCUUAGUUGAUCAGUCCGCUGCGGAAGAGUGAGAGACACCAAUUACUGCUGCAGGAUUAAAUGUUGCAGCGUUAUCACGACAAGAUGGUAAAUCCUCAAGACCAGAUGGCUAUCCUCCCAAAUUUUUUUUUUUUUUUGGGCAUAAGCUUUCCCCCCUAUUUUUGGACAUGUACAGUGAAUCGUUUGAAUCUGGCAGGCUUCCGCAAACGCUCAACAAAGCUUCAGGUUUUUCUUUGGUUUUUUCAUUGUUCUCUUUUUUUUGUUUUUUACUUGUUGUUCCCCUUUUUUGAUGGGCCAGGUUGGAUAUUGGCAGUUUUAGAGUGCAUUUUUAAUGUGCUUCUCUUAUUUUCGUCCGUCUUCUUUUUCUGUUAUGAUGUUGGCCCGUUCAUAAAGUGUCCUCACGACUGACAGUUUGUGUGCUUUGGGACGUUCGGAGGUCCAGAGUAGAUAUUGGUCGGUAUGCGUCGGUUUUGUUUUGACUGCCGUCAUUUUUGCAGUGGAUAUUCAUGUCCAAAAAAGUUGUGGUCCUGUUUAUUUCCUCUUCAUGUGUAAAUGUAAUGUUUCCAGUCUUGUCAAUACUGUUGAGGUGGUCUGCAAGAUCCUGUGUGUGUCCCAUUUUUAUUUUCUCCAGAAUGUCAUCCACGUAUCUUAUCCAGAAGUUGGGUCUGCAGUGUAUGGGUGCUGUGUUGGUGGCGGUGUUUCCAGGUUUUCCAUGAAUAAACUGCUCAUUAUUGCUGAUAAGGGGUCUCCUAUUGCGAAGCCCUCUUUUGCUUGUAUAUUAUUCCUUUGUAUUGAAAGCAUGUGGAUUUUGCAACAAAAUUGAGAUAUAUAAGUACGUCUUCAGGUGUGAGGUUUGUUCUUGCUUUUGGAGUCCUGUCUUUUGUGAUGCGUUUAUUGAUAAUGUGCAGGGUGGCAUCCACUGGGGUUUUGGUGAACAAUGAAAUGACGUCAUGUGAAAUAAACAUUUAAUCUGGUUCAAUUUGA